UUCAACCCANUUGACGUGGACCUCAAGGAGAGCAUGUCCUAUUGCAUGCGGGUUAGACGCGUCCACGCCCCGCCCCACGAAAAAAGGCGUCGGCUGAUAUGGCUUCAGAUCUGGGGAAGGCGCCUCCUUAGGACUAAGUCAUACUAUGCAGCCACUUCUGCACAGUGGGAUAGGACCUCUACUCUUGCCUGUAUUGUUUUAAGAAAACAGAAAGGGGGAACUGUGGUGAGCCGCUUCUGCCGUUUCUGCAGAUUAUGGUCGCCAUUACAAGAUGACGCUGGCUCUGCUGUGGUCUGUGACAAACAACUCCUUAUCUGGGAGAGUUGGCACAUGAUUUUUCACCACCCUGUGAGAAAGCUCCACGCGGCAGCUUUGCAUUGGGGCUUGGGAUGCUUUAUUAAGGCUGGGAGGGGCAUCAGAGAGAGA
rnacentral:lncRNA from 1 species